CACGUAGGGCGCGAGCGUUGUCCGGAAUUAUUGGGCGUAAAGAGCUCGUAGGCGGCCUGUUGCGUCCGCUGUGAAAGCCCGGGGCUUAACCCCGGGUCGGCAGUGGAUACGGGCAGACUAGAGGUAGGUAGGGGAGAAUGGAAUUCCCGGUGUAGCGGUGAAAUGCGCAGAUAUCGGGAGGAACACCGGUGGCGAAGGCGGUUCUCUGGGCCUUACCUGACGCUGAGGAGCGAAAGCGUGGGGAGCGAACAGG
rnacentral:rRNA from 1 species